UCUCUCAAGCAGCUCCAUUAACUCAAUAGGGUUGCAGCAGUUUGUGGGUGCUGUUUGCACGUGUGCAGGUGCAACUUCUAUUUUUAACCCUUCCUCUUAUGAUCUUAUAUCUUCUUUUUUACUAGAGAAAUUUCAGGCCAAAGAAGUGGAAACAACAAGUGCAAUGAGUGCUAACGCUGAUUUGGAUGAAUGUUUGCAGAAAGAACAGUUUGAAAUGACAGUGGGAAAGAGAAACCCAAAGCUGCAGCAUGGCUGUGAGCGACUGCUCCCACACUCUGUUCACUGGGAGGAGAGCUGCUGCAGCUGGGGGUUAGACAGCUGAAGAAAAGAGUCCAGCAAGAAGUGACGGGGGCAGCUCUUGGGACAAGAUGACAUCUGCCAGGAGGAAUGUGGCAUUGGCGGCUUCAGCAGCUGAGGGUUGCUCUUCUCCUCUGUGCGCUCUGGUGCAGACCUGCUUCCCGUCAUCCUUUGCUCAGUAAUGAGGAUGGUAAUUGUUAUUUAUUGGCCAAGGAUUUCAGCAGUCGCAAGUGAUUUUUUGAGACCAAUUUUGUCUUUUUAAGAAAGUGAUGAACAUUUCCUCCCCC